GCACUGCUAAGGAAUCCCAUAAUAGGACGAAACGGCCGUCCAGUGU
rfam:Schistosoma mansoni, Puerto Rico, WGS project CABG01000000 data, contig: 0193